UGAAGAAUUUAUCCAACGGCGGGGGAUAGCCGGCCCAACGGCCGGGUAAUACCGCGUACGACCCUCGGGGGGCAUCCCCUGAAGGUGAAAGCCGCAAGGCGCCGAUGGAGAAUUUCGCGGCCUAUCAGCUAGUUGGUGUGGUCAUGGCUCACCAAGGCGACGACGGGUAGCUGGUCCGAGAGGAUGACCAGCCACAUUGGGACUGAGACACGGCCCAGACUCCUACGGGAGGCAG
rnacentral:rRNA from 1 species